GGGGAUGACUUGGAAUUGAUUGGUUCAUUGAAAUAUUAAACUCAAACUAGGUGAUGACUUACAUCAACUUUCGUUUUAAUUGGCGAGACACAACUUGCAAUGGCAGCCUAAUAGUUAGGUUCUAAUGCACAUCGUUCUAUUGAGUAGACUUGUAAAUAGAUGAGAUGUUAAAGGAAGUACAUGAAGUGGGAAGGGUACUGAUACUGUCUCCGAUAGCAGCUUUAAAUGUAGAUAAAAAGUAUCUGUUUCUGAAAGUUUAAAAAAACUUAUUCUAUGUUUGUAAAAAGGUUUUUUAUGGAUUGAAUACAAGACGAGGGUUCGAAACCCUCCAUCUCCACUA
rnacentral:tmRNA from 1 species